GAGUGUGUAGUACACCAUUCGUUUGCAGAGGGUCCCCCAGCUUGCUUAUUUAGACAAACUAAAUUGGAAAAUGUUUUCAGUAAACUUGGCAAUUGUCCUGCUGGCCAUGGUGGGAUCUGCGUUGGGGGGAGUCGUGUCUUACGAGAGGUGCGGCGGCGUAGGAACCCUUACACAAUUAAGGGUAGAAACAUGCAAUGGAACAAGUUGCCGUCUGAAUCCGGGCAGCCCUUAUUUAGCGGAAGGAGACCUGAUUCCGAGCACCGCCUCAAGCCAACUGCACCUCAAAGUCACGACUACUUAUUUCACUGGAGAACUAACUAUUAUCGAUACUGACCUGGACAACUCAUCCGUCCAGCCGUGACUAACUUACGUCAUCAAAUUCACGAUUGUUCCAAAUGAUGUUUUGGCCGGAAGUACGCUUCCCAUUAGGGCGGCGAUUUCAGAUGUAUUAACUGGACGUGUCGAGAUUUGUGCGCAUUUUCAAGUCUUUAUAAAUUUUCUCGAAUAAAUACAUACCUGUUUUCUACUA